rnacentral:rRNA from 1 species
UGGUGAGGUAACGGCUCACCAAGGCCACGAUGCGUAGCCGACCUGAGAGGGUGAUCGGCCACAUUGGAACUGAGACACGGUCCAGACUCCUACGGGAGGCAGCAGUGGGGAAUAUUGCACAAUGGGCGGAAGCCUGAUGCAGCAACGCCGCGUGAGUGAUGAAGGCCCUCGGGUCGUAAAGCUCUUUGAUCAGGGAUGAUAAUGACAGUACCUGAAAAACAAGCCACGGCUAACUACGUGCCAGCAGCCGCGGUAAUACGUAGGUGGCGAGCGUUGUCCGGAAUUACUGGGCGUAAAGGAUGCGUAGGUGGAUAUUUAAGUGGGAUGUGAAAUCCCCGGGCUCAACCCGGGAACUGCAUUCCAAACUGGAUGUCUAGAGUGCAGGAGAGGAAAGCGGAAUUCCUAGUGUAGCGGUGAAAUGCGUAGAUAUUAGGAGGAACACCAGUGGCGAAGGCGGCUUUCUGGACUGUAACUGACACUGAGGCAUGAAAGCGUGGGUAGCAAACAGGAUUAGAU